UACGGAGGAUCCAAGCGUUAUCCGGAAUUACUGGGCGUAAAGAGUUGCGUAGGUUGCAUAGUAAGUUGGUAGUGAAAUAGUUCCGCUCAACGGAAUAAACAUUAUCAAAACUGCUAAGCUAGAGUAUGAGAGAGGUCACUGGAAUUCCUAGUGUAGGAGUGAAAUCCGUAGAUAUUAGGAGGAACACCAAUGGCGUAGGCAGGUGACUGGCUCAUUACUGACACUAAGGCACGAAAGCGUGGGGAGCGAACAGG
rnacentral:rRNA from 1 species